rnacentral:rRNA from 1 species
CGGCUCAGUAACACGUGGAUAACCUGCCCUAAGGUGGAGGAUAACCCCGGGAAACUGGGGAUAAUACUCCAUAGGUUAAAGGUACUGGAAUGUUCUUUAACCGAAAGUUCCGGCGCUUUAGGAUGGAUCUGCGGCCGAUUAGGUUGUUGUUGGGGUAGUGGCCCAACAAGCCUGUAAUCGGUACGGGUUGUGGGAGCAAGAGCCCGGAGAUGGAAUCUGAGACACGAUUCCAGGCCCUACGGGGCGCAGCAGGCGCGAAAACUUUACAAUGCAGGAAACUGUGAUAAGGGAACCCCGAGUGCCCGUAUAUGCGGGCUGUCCGGAUGUUUAAAACGCAUCCGAAGAAAGGGCCGGGCAAGACCGGUGCCAGCCGCCGCGGUAAUACCGGCGGCUCGAGUGGUGGCCACUUUUAUUGGGCUUAAAGCGUUCGUAGCUUGAAUAAUAAGUCUCUUGGGAAAUCUGCAGGCUUAACCUGCAGGCGUUUAAGAGAAACUGUUGUUCUAGGAACCGGAAGAGGUGAGAGGUACUCCGGGGGUAGGAGUGAAAUCCUGUAAUCCCCGGGGGACCACCGAUGGCGAAGGCAUCUCACCAGGACGGCUUCGACAGUGAGGAACGAAAGCUGGGGGAGCGAACCGGAUUAGAUACCCGGGUAGUCCCAGCCGUAAACGAUGUGCGUUAGGUGUGCCGGUGACCACGAGUCACUGGGGUGCCGAAGGGAAACCGUGAAACGUACCGCCUGGGAAGUACGGUCGCAAGGCUGAAACUUAAAGGAAUUGGCGGGGGAGCACAAGGG